AAUGGUUUCAUAACCAAACAGUUCCCGUAUAAGGUGUCCUCCACGAGAAGUACAGAGACAUUGCAGGGGAGAGCUAUGAGACUCGUUCUUUGUGACCCGGGUGUGACCAGUGGAUGAGCUGCCUGGAUUCUGACUCCACAUAAGAAGUGUCUGAUCGUAGGAUGCAUGGACUACCUUUAGAGCUGGGCAGCCAGCCUGGCAUGGGGUCCCUGCUCAGAGGAUCGAGCUUCUGCUGGGCC
rnacentral:lncRNA from 1 species